rnacentral:lncRNA from 1 species
GCCCGGCCCAUCCUCUCCUGCCCACGAAGCUAUCUAUAGCUUGGCUGGGUCGUGUGUGUGUGUGUGUGACACUGUGACUGUGUACAUGUGCAUGCACGGUUGGUUGCAACUGUCAACCUCCACAUAAAGCGUGACACCCUUCAUUAUUUGCCGCCACACGCCGCCGCUUAAGAGGCGUACCGGCCGUAAACCCCAUCACGAGCAGUAACCGUACGUAAGCCCUUUCAUCGUGUAAUUAACUAGCUGUACGCUUUAUUGCUGUUACGGCCGCGCCGACAAGUUAGAACCGCGCGCGACUUUUCCAUGCCGGCCCGUCCGUCGUCUUCCUGCAGCUGCAGCUUAGAGCAAUUCCAAUGGAAUUCUCUAAAUUUUGUCCCCAAAUAUUUUUUUUUGUCUGUUUGGGGUGAAAUGGACAUGUGUACAGACAGUGUCCGCCUUCGUUGCCUAAUGGUGUCCUCCAAAUUCCUCUCCCCAAUUUUUUUUUUCUUUUCCCAUCUUCCUCCGCUCCCGAUCCUCUCCGUGCUCAUCCUGCUGCUGGUAUACCUCGCCAUGGAUCGGAUCAAAUCAAAGCCAACCCGCAUCAUUCCUAAUCCAUACUAGUACUCCAUCUUAGGAAUUAACAUCAAGAAUCUGCGCAUACUACCACUACUACCCUCCUCGAAGACUACAAGCUGCUACUUGCCUUGGCCUGCUGGUGCAUGCCAUGCUGGUGCCUGCGUCACUGUCCAUGCCGCCAUGCUGGCCUCGCCAUGGCCGAUCUCACUUUGGUUGUGGACUUGUUGUUCUCGCGCGCGUGGCAUGGCCGCAUGGUCACGUAUUUUUCCCAUCACUCGUGAGUCUGCAGGCAACUAGGCAAAGGCUUUAUUAACUACUUUUAUCUCGGGCAGGUGGAUGAAUAGGUGGCAGUGUAGUACAUCCGCACUAAUUAACCACCACUGCCCGCAGGAUUAGAUCCAAUCAUGGGCUCGGGCUAAGCUUAGCUGCACACUGCACUGCAUCCAGAUCUUUAUUUUAGAACACAUCGCUGCAUCCAGAUCUGACAGGCCGGCAGACAGGCCUCACAGGUGAAUCAAUCUAACUGCCUGCCUGAUUUGACACCUUGUCCACGUUCGCGCGUGUUUUCUCAUCUGCUGCCGCCUGCCGCCCGGUGAUUAAACGUGGCGAUACGCUCUCUCCGGUCCUCGAUCUCUGGCUCGAUUUGAAGCAGCUGGGCCCAUCCUUCGACAGAUGAAUCAAAGCCAUCAGCAGCAACUUGGAGAGUAAAAGAACAAAUACUCUAAUUUAUGAACGCACGACAUGAUGCCGCAGGCAGCCCGCAGCUAACAUAACUGC